rnacentral:lncRNA from 1 species
UCAUCACCAUCACUUCUCCCCUAGAGGUGUCAUCGCCAUCCCAAACUCUGAAAAACAACUCUGACUUCGCCAAAGGCGAUCAUCAAACCAACCCACCCUGAAUAGGCCGUGCGGAAUCACAUGAAGAUCCACAUCGGACCUCAGCCACUACAACAAGAAAGCACAGCUCUAACACCAACAGAGAGCUACGAAUGAACCAAGCAGCUGUGAAGUCGAAGCUACAGUGGCAGGGCCCGGUGGCAUAUGCUGACGAGUAGGUGGUCCGUUCGGUGAUCUUCCUCAACACGUAGUAUGACUUCAGUGCACACGACACAGUAUAUGCCCCCAUGGAGACCGACAACAGAACAACAGUUCCACAAGCAUGAGCACACUUGAAUUCAGGUGAGAGUGUGACCACUCCCAUUCCUGUCACGUAGAAAGAAGAAAACUCCCGUUUCGUACAGAAAUUCCAUGAGAAGCAAAAUGGCGUCACGUCGUAUUAUUUGUAUUCUUCGUUCUACGAAUCAGCAAAACCAGAUCACGACUCGGACACGAUUCACAUGGAGCACCUAUCUCACGCUUUUUCGACGCUGUAGCCAGGCUGCCUCUCUUCCUCAUCACUUAUUUAAGACGCCUGUCUGGGUUAAAAAAUCGUGACCGAACAAUGACCGGCGGUAUGUAAGGCCUUCCACAGCGUAGCCGGUGCCAAAUACAUCAAAAGGCAGCCACCUCAUCACCGGUGCCCAAAAUUGCUUUUCAGGCAUCGAUCUCACAACGUAGGGCUUCGGCAGGAAAAAGAUUUUGGGACCCAUAUGAUAAACAAGUACACCACGCUGCUGUGUAUUGAGCAAAGAGAGAGAAGACAUUCGCUGUUCAAAGUUGAGAGUUAAUAGUAUUUUAUUGGCUGGAGGAAUUGGGCAUCGUGUUCUUACUUGCUCCGAUGCCAUGAAAAUUUUGUUGGGGCACCGGCCUCACAACGUGAGGGCACCGGCUAUCGGAGCCAGAAGUUAAUUUGGCACCUCUUUUGGCCUACAUAAUGGAAGGUCUAAGAGGUGGGUUUGAGAGAUCGGUUGUAGAUGCUCUUAAUAAGCUAGUACUAGAAGAAGAACAUGUAUAGGGGAGGAAGGGGACAUAAGUGAAUCCCGAACGAAAGCACGUACCUGCGGGUGAUGGCCGAGUCAAGAAACACGGUCGACGUUCGUGAUCGAGUUGGCGCCGUGCCGGAGCUAAUUCAAGGGAAUGCCGCCGCCUUCCAACCGGAGACGAGACUGUAUUAUGUGGCUGACAACCUGCGCAGCUUUCAAACAUGGUGGCUCCUUUUGGAAAAGGCUCGGAGUGGAGACCCCAACCGUGUCACUCGUGUCAUACAUAUGCACCUUACAAAGGGCUGCGAGCUUUACUACACAGAUGUGUUGGGUGUUCAUUUGGUUUUAACAAAUUUGAGACCUUAUCUUUUUUUUGUUGGGUUUGCAGCUUUUAUGUCAUUUUAAAUACAUAUGUGUAUGCUGUCAAUACACUAUAGAUUAACAUACACUAGUGUCAAAAACGCUUUUAUAUUAUAAAACGGAGGGAGUAGUCUGAUUUUCUCAACACGUAAGGGCUUCUUUGAUUCAAAGGAAUUGCAUAGGAUUUUUGGAGGAUUUGAAUCCUUAGGAAUUUUUCCUGUGAUGCUCGUUUGAUUCGUAGGAUUGGCAUCCUUAGGAAUUUUUCCAUAGGAUCCAUUUGUACUACAUUUUGGAGGAAAAUUUGCAUCCACUGAAACCUCUUUGUAGGAUUCCUUUGUUUUUCCUGCGCUAUCAAACAUUCUUUGAGAUCCUGUAGGAUACUAUGGGACAUGUCAUCCUAUUCCUGCAUUUUUCCUAUUCCUUCAUUUUGACAAUCCUGCGAAUCAAAGAGGCCCUAAAUUUUUUUUUAAACGGAGGCAAAAGAUUUGGCUCAUUCAUUAAUUAAGCAGAAAAGAACUGCCCAGUUAAUUAAUGAAAAACCAGGCGAAAAUCAUCACAAACUACUGAGUGACACCAAUGAAAGACCUACACGCGCCACUCACAAGAGGGCCUCGUCAAGACUGCACGUCGACAUCAUCGCCAUCACUUCUCCCCUAGAGGCAUCAUUGCCAUCCCAAACUAUGAGAAACGACUCCAACUUCACCUCAAGAGGGCCUCGUCAAGACCGCACCUCGAGCGUCAUCACCAUCAUUUCUCCCCUAGAGGUGUCAUCGCCAUCCCAAACUCUGAAAAACAACUCUGACUUCGCCAAAGGCGAUCAUCAAACCAACCCACCCUGAAUAGGCCGUGCGGAAUCACAUGAAGAUCCACAUCGGACCUCAGCCACUACAACAAGAAAGCACAGCUCUAACACCAACAGAGAGCUACGAAUGAACCAAGCAGCUGUGAAGUCGAAGCUACAGUGGCAGGGCCCGGUGGCAUAUGCUGACGAGUAGGUGGUCCGUUCGGUGAUCUUCCUCAACACGUAGUAUGACUUCAGUGCACACGACACAGUAUAUGCCCCCCUGGAGACCGACAACAGAACAACAGUUCCACAAGCAUGAGCACACUUGAAUUCAGGUGAGAGUGUGACCACUCCCAUUCCUGUCACGUAGAAAGAAGAAAACUCCCGUUUCGUACAGAAAUUCCAUGAGAAGCAAAAUGGCGCCACGUCGUAUUAUUUGUAUUCUUUGUUCUACGAAUCAGCAAAACCAGAUCACGACUCGGACACGAUUCACAUGGAGCACCUAUCUCACGCUUUUUCGACGCGGUAGCCAGGCUGCCUCUCUUCCUCAUCACUUAUUUAAGACGCCCGUCUGGGUUAAAAAAUCGUGACCGAACAAUGACCGGCGGUAAGGCCUUCCACAGCGUAGCCGGUGCCAAAUACAUCAAAAGGCAGCCACCUCAUCACCGGUGCCCAAAAUUGCUUUUCAGGCAUCGAUCUCACAACGUAGGGCUUCGGCAGGAAAAAGAUUUUGGGACCCAUAUGAUAAACAAGUACACCACGCUGCUGUGUAUUGAGCAAAGAGAGAGAAGACAUUUGCUGUUCAAAGUUGAGAGUUAAUAGUAUUUUAUUGGCUGGAGGAAUUGGGCAUCGUGUUCUUACUUGCUCCGAUGCCAUGAAAAUUUUGUUGGGGCACCGGCCUCACAACGUGAGGGCACCGGCUAUCGGAGGCAGAAGUUAAUUUGGCACCUCUUUUGGCCUACAUAAUGGAAGGUCUAAGAGGUGGGUUUGAGAGAUCGGUUGUAGAUGCUCUUAAUAAACUAGUACUAGAAGAAGAACAUGUAUAGGGGAGGAAGGGGACAUAAGUGAAUCCCGAACGGAAGCACGUACCUGCGGGUGAUGGCCGAGUCGAGAAACACGGUCGACGUUCGUGAUCGAGUUGGCGCCGUGCCGGAGCUAAUUCAAGGGAAUGCCGCCGCCUUCCAACCGGAGACGAGACUGUAUUAUGUGGCUGACAACCUGCGCAGCUUUCAAACAUGGUGGCUCCUUUUGGAAAAGGCUCGGAGUGGAGACCCCAACCGUGUCACUCGUGUCAUACAUAUGCACCUUACAAAGGGCUGCGAGCUUUACUACACAGAUGUGUUGGGUGUACAUUUGGUUUUAACAAAUUUGAGACCUUAUCUUUUUUUUGUUGGGUUUGCAGCUUUUAUGUCAUUUUAAAUACAUAUGUGUAUGCUGUCAAUACACUAUAGAUUAACAUACACUAAUGUCAAAAACGCUUUUAUAUUAUAAAACGGAGGAAGUAGUCUGAUUUUCUCAACACGUAAGGGCUUCUUUGAUUCAAAGGAAUUGCAUAGGAUUUUUGGAGGAUUUGAAUCCUUAGGAAUUUUUCCUGUGAUGCUCGUUUGAUUCGUAGGAUUGGCAUUCUUAGGAAUUUUUCCAUAGGAUCCAUUUGUACUACAUUUUGGAGGAAAAUUUUCAUCCACUCAAACCUCUUUGUAGGAUUCCUUUGUUUUUCCUGCGCUAUCAAACAUUCUUUGAGAUCCCGUAGGAUACUAUGGGACAUGUCAUCCUAUUCCUGCAUUUUUCCUAUUCCUUCAUUUUGACAAUCCUGCGAAUCAAAGAGGCCCUAAAUUUUUUUUUAAACGGAGGCAAAAGAUUUGGCUCAUUCAUUAAUUAAGCAGAAAAGAACUGCCCAGUUAAUUAAUGAAAAACCAGGCGAAAAUCAUCACAAACUACUGAGUGACACCAAUGAAAGACCUACACGCGCCACUCACAAGAGGGCCUCGUCAAGACUGCACGUCGACAUCAUCGCCAUCACUUCUCCCCUAGAGGCAUCAUUGCCAUCCCAAACUAUUGAGAAACGACUCCAACUUCACCUCAAGAGGGCCUCGUCAAGACCACACCUGGCGCGUCAUCACCAUCACUUCUCCCCUAGAGGUGUCAUCGCCAUCCCAAACUCUGAAAAACAACUCUGACUUCGCCAAAGGCGAUCAUCAAACCAACCCACCCUGAAUAGGCCGUGCAGAAUCACAUGAAGAUCCACAUCGGACCUCAGCCACUACAACAAGAAAGCACAGCUCUAACACCAACAGAGAGCUACGAAUGAACCAAGCAGCUGUGAAGUCGAAGCUACAGUGGCAGGGCCCGGUGGCAUAUGCUGACGAGUAGGUGGUCCGUUCGGUGAUCUUCCUCAACACGUAGUAUGACUUCAGUGCACACGACACAGUAUAUGCCCCCCUGGAGACCGACAACAGAACAACAGUUCCACAAGCAUGAGCACACUUGAAUUCAGGUGAGAGUGUGACCACUCCCAUUCCUGUCACGUAGAAAGAAGAAAACUCCCGUUUCGUACAGAAAUUCCAUGAGAAGCAAAAUGGCGCCACGUCGUAUUAUUUGUAUUCUUCGUUCUACGAAUCAGCAAAACCAGAUCACGACUCGGACACGAUUCACAUGGAGCACCUAUCUCACGCUUUUUCGACGCGGUAGCCAGGCUGCCUCUCUUCCUCAUCACUUAUUUCCACCAUGGAGAUGGUGGCCUCCAUCAGGCCGUAACUUUCUUCGACGUCACUGAGUUGCAGAUGGUGGCAAAGUCCGG